rnacentral:rRNA from 1 species
AACGCGAAGAUCCUUACCUGGUCUUGACAUGCUUUUGACAGCUCUAGAAAUAGAGUCUUCUCGCCAAGAGACAGAAGCACAGGUGCUGCAUGGCUGUCGUCAGCUCGUGCCGUGAGGUGUUGGGUUAAGUCCCGCAACGAGCGCAACCCUUGUCGUUAGUUGCCAGCACGUAAUGGUGGGCACUCUAGCGAGACUGCCUGGGUUAACCAGGAGGAAGGUGAGGAUGACGUCAAGUCCGCAUGGCCUUUAUGUCCAGGGCAACACACGUGCUACAAUGGUCGGUACAGAGGGCAGCGAAACCGCGAGGUGGAGCAAAUCCUUAAAGCCGGCCCCAGUUCAGAUUGCAGUCUGCAAUUCGACUGCAUGAAGUUGGAAUUGCUAGUAAUGGCGAGUCAGCUACAUUGCCGUGAAUACGUUCCCGGGUCUUGUACACACCG